rnacentral:rRNA from 1 species
UCCCCUGGAACGGGGCGCCACAGAGGGUGAGAGCCCCGUAUAGUUGGACGCCUAGCCUGUGUAGAGCUCCUUCCACGAGUCGAGUAGUUUGGGAAUGCUGCUCAAAAUGGGAGGUAAAUUUCUUCUAAAGCUAAAUACCAGCCAGAGACCGAUAGCGCACAAGUAGAGUGAUCGAAAGAUGAAAAGCACUUUGAAAAGAGGGUUAAACAGCACGUGAAAUUGUUGAAAGGGAAGCGCUUGUGACCAGACUCGCGCCGGGCUGAUCAUCCGGUGUUCUCACCGGUGCACUCUGCCCGGCUCGGGCCAGCAUCGGUUCCUGCGGGGGGAUAAAGGCUCCGGGAACGUAGCUCCUCCGGGAGUGUUAUAGCCCGGGGCGCAAUGCCCCCGCGGGGACCGAGGACCGCGCUCUGCAAGGAUGCUGGCGUAAUGGUCACCAGCGACCCGUCUUGA